AGAGUUUGAUCCGGGUUCAGGACCGAACGCUGGCGGCAUGCCUUAAUACAUGCAAGUUCGAACGAGCUUCCGUUGAAUGACGUGCUUGCACUGAUUUCAACCAAUGAAGCGAGUGGCGAACUGGUGAGUAACACGUGGGGAAUCUGCCCAGAAGCAGGGGAUAACACUUGGAAACAGGUGCUAAUACCGUAUAACAACAAAAUCCGCAUGGAUCUUGUUUGAAAGGUGGCUUCGGCUAUCACUUCUGGAUGAUCCCGCGGCGUAUUAGUUAGUUGGUGAGGUAAAGGCCCACCAAGACGAUGAUACGUAGCCGACCUGAGAGGGUAAUCGGCCACAUUGGGACUGAGACACGGCCCAAACUCCUACGGGAGGCAGCAGUAGGGAAUCUUCCACAAUGGACGAAAGUCUGAUGGAGCAAUGCCGCGUGAGUGAAGAAGGGUUUCGGCUCGUAAAACUCUGUUGUUAAAGAAGAACACCUUUGAGAGUAACUGUUCAAGGGUUGACGGUAUUUAACCAGAAAGCCACGGCUAACUACGUGCCAGCAGCCGCGGUAAUACGUAGGUGGCAAGCGUUGUCCGGAUUUAUUGGGCGUAAAGCGAGCGCAGGCGGUUUUUUAAGUCUGAUGUGAAAGCCUUCGGCUUAACCGGAGAAGUGCAUCGGAAACUGGGAGACUUGAGUGCAGAAGAGGACAGUGGAACUCCAUGUGUAGCGGUGGAAUGCGUAGAUAUAUGGAAGAACACCAGUGGCGAAGGCGGCUGCCUAGUCUGUAACUGACGCUGAGGCUCGAAAGCAUGGGUAGCGAACAGGAUUAGAUACCCUGGUAGUCCAUGCCGUAAACGAUGAGUGCUAAGUGUUGGAGGGUUUCCGCCCUUCAGUGCUGCAGCUAACACAUUAAGCACUCCGCCUGGGGAGUA
rnacentral:rRNA from 1 species